rnacentral:rRNA from 1 species
AUUGAACGCUGGCGGCAGGCUUAACACAUGCAAGUCGAGCGGGGUGAUGGUGCUUGCACUAUCACUUAGCGGCGGACGGGUGAGUAAUGCUUAGGAAUCUGCCUAUUAGUGGGGGACAACAUCUCGAAAGGGAUGCUAAUACCGCAUACGUCCUACGGGAGAAAGCAGGGGAUCACUUGUGACCUUGCGCUAAUAGAUGAGCCUAUGUCGGAUUAGCUAGUUGGUGGGGUAAAGGCCUACCAAGUCGACGAUCUGUAGCGGGUCUGAGCGGAGGAUCAGCCACACUGGGACUGAGACACGGCCCAGACACCGACGGGAGGCAGCAGUGGGGAAUAGUGGACAAUGGGGGGAACCCUGAUCCAGCCAUGCCGCGUGUGUGAAGAAGGCCUUAUGGUUGUAAAGCACUUUAAGCGAGGAGGAGGCUCUUUUGGUUAAUACCCAAGAUGAGUGGACGUUACUCGCAGAAUAAGCACCGGCUAACUCUGUGCCAGCAGCCGCAGUAA